AACGAUAGUUUCGUUUAAUUUAAGAAAUUUGUGUUGAUGAGGAAAUAAAUAUGGAUAAUCAACUGAACUUGCUUCUCAGUUCGCGCAGACUCAGUAAGGGACUUCGGAGUCGACUCCUCGCGUGCGAACUGAACACUGAUGCCAGAGUCAAUGGAGUCGAAUUCUCGCGACUCCAGGCUUCAUUCGUGCACAACACUAGUGGUAAUGUCUAAACACGAAUAGACACUGAAGCGAAAAGAAAUUAUGAAUUUAAGAUUUAACACAAGAUGUCUUCGAAAGAGACAACUAAAGAAUUAUUUGUGGAGAUACACCUAGAUGAAGAUAUGCAAACAGACGAUGAUUACGAUGAAAAUCUGCAGAAAGUUAUUGGUAAGAUUGAUGCUAUCCCAUGUUAUAGUUUAACUAUCCAUCCAUCUGCUUAUAUAUACUGUAUAAGAUUGGUAAAAGUAAACAAACAGUUCUCAUGCUUGUAUCUAUUCUUGUAAGUUAGCAAUUUGAUAUAUUUUUUUGUUAAAUGGUUUUUGAAUUACAGUAAUAGUUUAAUUAAAAUAUGAAUAAUUGGAACUGACAUUAUUAUUGUAACACAAACUUUUCAGCAAAAUUUAAUUGUUGUUGAGAAAGUUUUAGUUUUUAAGGCAAUAGAAAUGAUGGAGAAUUGACAUAAGAAACCUAAUUGUUCUCAAUGGAUGCACAAGAUAAGUACAUAUGGAAUCAAAA
rnacentral:lncRNA from 1 species